AAUAGAUACCCUGGUAGUCCACGCCGUAAACGAUGUCGACUUGGAGGUUGUUCCCUUGAGGAGUGGCUUCCGGAGCUAACGCGUUAAGUCGACCGCCUGGGGAGUACGGCCGCAAGGUUAAAACUCAAAUGAAUUGACGGGGGCCCGCACAAGCGGUGGAGCAUGUGGUUUAAUUCGAUGCAACGCGAAGAACCUUACCUACUCUUGACAUCCAGAGAACUUAGCAGAGAUGCUUUGGUGCCUUCGGGAACUCUGAGACAGGUGCUGCAUGGCUGUCGUCAGCUCGUGUUGUGAAAUGUUGGGUUAAGUCCCGCAACGAGCGCAACCCUUAUCCUUUGUUGCCAGCGGUCCGGCCGGGAACUCAAAGGAGACUGCCAGUGAUAAACUGGAGGAAGGUGGGGAUGACGUCAAGUCAUCAUGACCCUUACGAGUAGGGCUACACACGUGCUACAAUGGCGCAUACAAAGAGAAGCGACCUCGCGAGAGCAAGCGGACCUCAUAAAGUGCGUCGUAGUCCGGA
rnacentral:rRNA from 1 species